rnacentral:rRNA from 1 species
UACAGAGGGGGCAAGCGUUGUUCGGAAUUACUGGGCGUAAAGGGCGCGUAGGCGGCCUUCUAAGUCGAACGUGAAAUCCCCGGGCUCAACCCGGGAACUGCGUCCGAUACUGGGGGGCUUGAAUCCGGGAGAGGGAUGUGGAAUUCCAGGUGUAGUGGUGAAAUGCGUAGAGAUCCGGAGGAACACCAGUGGCGAAGGCGACACGCUGGGCCGUACCUGACACUGAUGCGCGACAGCAUGGGGAGCAAACAGA